GUCCCAUCUCUCAAAUAUCAUAGUCGGAUUUCCCACCUUCUUAAUACUGUUAAAAUAAAGAUUUCAUUUCAACAUGAGUUUUGGAGGGGACAAACAUUCGAACCAUAGCAGUAGAAUGCAAGAGGAGAGAGAGAAAUUGAAAAAGAAAUUGUCAGGCAGAAAGGAACUUGAAUGUGAAGAUUAAAAAAAAAAUUCACAGCCUAUCCAAUACUGCAAAAUUUGAGAAUGUGCUCUGGUGACAAGACAAAGGGUGUGGCUAGACAAUCAUGCCACAAAGAGAUCAUGGGUGUGACUCACUGACCUAAUCAGCCAUCUCAGCAGAAGCCAGAAAUAGAGAUACCAGCAGAAACACGGCCAGCUGGGACUAAAGAGG
rnacentral:lncRNA from 13 species